UGUUUUCGGGAUCCGAAUACGAUUCACAGUGCGCCUGCAGGCCGUCCCUAAUUUUCCCUGAAUUUUUCCCGGGGAACUGAAACACACUAACAGUACCGGCGGCGGCGCUCUCGGGUACGGCGGCUCUCCGGCGAGGUUCGUGUUUUGGUGAUUCGGCUUCGGUCAACCUCGAUCGGCGGUCGGAAAUUUCCCCGGUGCGGCGGCGGGUGGCGGCGGUCGGCCUCUGGUUCGUCUUCUCCAGCGAGCGGCGGG
rnacentral:lncRNA from 1 species